CACCUGUGUGGGUGCGCAGGUGGACUUUCAAGUGACCCUUGUAUGAGAAGCUCUGAGAGCAUGAAGGGCACUGAUAUGGCUUCUCACCUGUGUGGGUGCGCAGGUGGACUUUCAGGCUGCUCUUUUGUGAGAAGCUCUGAGAGCAUGAGGGGCACUGAUAUGGCUUCUCGCCUGUGUGGGUGCGCAGGUGGGCUUUUAGGUAGGCCUGUUGUGAGAAGCUCUGAGAGCAUGAAGGGCACUCAAAUGGCUUCUCGCCUGUGUGGGUGCGCAGGUGGUCUUUGAGGUGGCACUUUCGUGAGAAGCUCCUAUGGCAUGAAGGGCACUGAAAUGGCUUCUCGCCAGUAUGGACGCUGGCAUGUGCUUCCAAAUGAAACAGUUCAUCAGCUUCAUAGUCACAUAGGUGACAUCUGUGGAGGCACCCUUGCUUUGAGUUGUCACAUUUGGCAGCUGACGGAGAAAUAGAAGGCCUCGAUGCUGC
rnacentral:lncRNA from 1 species